rnacentral:tRNA from 1 species
GGGGCUAUAGCUCAGCUGGGAGAGCGCUGCUUUGCACGCAGGAGGUCUGUGGUUCGAUCCCGCAUAGCUCCACCA